rnacentral:rRNA from 1 species
UACGUAGGGUGCUAGCGUUGUUCGGAAUCAUUGGGCGUAAAGCGCGUUGUUGAGGACGGUCAGUUAAGUCAUGGUGUGAAAGCCCUGGGCUCAACCGAGGAAGGUGCAUUAGAAACUAACUGACUAGAAGACGGUAGAGGAAGGUGGAAUUCCCGGUGUAGAGGUGAAAUUCGUAGAUAUCAGGAGGAACACCGGUGGCGAAGGCGGCUUUCUGGGCCGUUACCUGACGCUGAGGAGCGAAAGCUGGGGGAGCAAACAGG